rnacentral:rRNA from 1 species
AUUGAACGCUGGCGGCAUGCCUUACACAUGCAAGUCGAACGGUAACGCGGGGCAACCUGGCGACGAGUGGCGAACGGGUGAGUAAUAUAUCGGAACGUGCCCAGUCGUGGGGGAUAACUGCUCGAAAGAGCAGCUAAUACCGCAUAACGUCGCAAGACCAAAGAGGGGGACCUUCGGGCCUCUUGCCAUCAGAUGUGCCCAGAUGGGAUUAGCUAGUAGGUGGGUAACGGCUCACCUAGGCGACGAUCCCUAGCUGGUCUGAGAGGAUGACCAGCCACACUGGAACUGAGACACGGUCCAGACUCCUACGGGAGGCAGCAGUGGGGAAUAUUGCACAAUGGGCGCAAGCCUGAUGCAGCCAUGCCGCGUGUAUGAAGAAGGCCUCGGUUGUAAGUAC